GCGAGUAUAGUACAGCGGUAGUAUGCAUGCUUCCCAAGCAUGAGACGGGGUUUCGACUACCCCUACUCGCA
rnacentral:tRNA from 1 species